rnacentral:rRNA from 1 species
AGAWASUAACAAGGAUUCCCCUAGUAACGGCGAGUGAAGCGGGAAGAGCUCAAAUUUGAAAUCUGGCAGUCUUCGAUUGUCCGAGUUGUAAUCUAUAGAGGCGUUUUCCGUGCCGGACCGUGUCCAAGUCUCCUGGAAAGGAGUAUCAAAGAGGGUGAUAAUCCCGUACUUAACACGACCACCGGUGCUCUGUGAUACGUCUUCUACGAGUCGAGUUGUUUGGGAAUGCAGCUCAAAAUGGGUGGUGAAUUCCAUCUAAAGCUAAAUAUUGGCGAGAGACCGAUAGCGAACAAGUACCGUGAGGGAAAGAUGAAAAGCACUUUGGAAAGAGAGUUAAACAGUACGUGAAAUUGUUGAAAGGGAAACGAUUGAAGUCAGUCGUGUUCUUUGGAUUCAGCCAGUUCUGCUGGUCUACUUCCUUGGAACGGGUCAACAUCAGUUUUGUCCGGUGGAUAAAGGUAGUAGGAAUGUGACUUCUCCGGAAGUGUUAUAGCCUAUUAUCACAUACACUGGGUGAGACUGAGGACUGCAGCUCGCCUUUAUGGCCGGCCUUCGGGCACGUUCGAGCUUAGGAUGUUGACAUAAUGGCUUUAAACGAC